ACGAACGCUGGCGGCGUGCCUAACACAUGCAAGUCGAGCGGAGGGGAUAGGAGCUUGCUUCUUGAACUUUAGCGACGGACGGGUGAGUAACACGUGGGUAAUCUGCCCUUGAGAGGGGGAUAACAGGUCGAAAGGCCUGCUAAUACCGCAUAACGCUAAGAUGCUGCAUGGCGUCUUAGCCAAAGGUUAAUUCCGCUCAAGGAUGAGCCCGCGGCCCAUUAGCUAGUUGGUGAGGUAAAGGCUCACCAAGGCAACGAUGGGUAGCCGGCCUGAGAGGGUGGUCGGCCACACUGGGACUGAGACACGGCCCAGACUCCUACGGGAGGCAGCAGUGGGGAAUAUUGCGCAAUGGGGGAAACCCUGACGCAGCGACGCCGCGUGAGCGAUGAAGGCCUUCGGGUUGUAAAGCUCUGUCUUCCCUGACGAUAAUGACGGUAAGGGAGGAGGAAGCCACGGCUAACUACGUGCCAGCAGCCGCGGUAAUACGUAGGUGGCGAGCGUUGUCCGAAAUUAUUGGGCGUAAAGGGUGCGUAGGCGGCUCUUUAAGUGGGAUGUGAAAUCCCUGGGGCUCAACCCCAGGAACUGCAUUCCAAACUGGAGAGCUAGAGUGCAGGAGAGGAAAGCGGAAUUCCCAGUGUAGCGGUGAAAUGCGUAGAGAUUGGGAGGAACACCAGUGGCGAAGGCGGCUUUCUGGACUGUAACUGACGCUGAGGCACGAAAGCGUGGGGAGCAAACUAGGAUUAGAUACCCUGGUAGUCCAUGCUGUAAACGAUGGGUACUAGGUGUAGG
rnacentral:rRNA from 1 species